CUUUUACAUGGAUUAUCACAUCUGGCAGAUGAAUUCUUAUUUUGACCGAUUUUGAGUUAUGCAGUGCAGAUUGAGAACGAAAAAGCGCAAAUAUGAACACAGACACAAUGGCUAAUGGACACAUAUUGCAAACGGCAGAAGAGAGGACAUGAAACCACCAUUCUUGGACUCUGAAGAAUACUAUGCAAACCAUGCUUUUGGAUCUACUGUUAAGUUUUUGUAAUAAAGCUGAGGUUUUGGGAUUGAAAAUCUUCUGCCACAUGAUCUUCCGUAAAAAAAAAAGUCAGUUAUGCAGAUUGGAAAAGACAUGGAUGCAGCAAGGAUCCAGCUGAUUACUUCAGAUUUGGUGGACUGCUCUUUAUCUGCUGUGACUGUCACUUCUGGUGCAGAAUCAUGGACCUUUAUUUGUAUGUUUUGAUUUUACUUAUUACACUUGUGUAGCUAGUAUUCAGGAUUAAAAUACAAUGUAAUUUUUGUCCACAUAUAUUAUCAGAGCUAUAUGGAAUCCAAUAGGGUCAGUCAAAUAUUGAGAAAAAACACUAUAAACCUGAUUGGGAAAAUACAAGCUAAAAUACAGUUCCCUCCACAAUCUUUUUCAAAGAAAAAAUCAUGAUACUAUAACCCUAACUUGUAAGAUAAAAAUGUAAUUUUUAGUUUUUCAAUUGCUCCUCAAGAAUUCCUCCUCAGGAAUUUGUUUACAUAAAUUUACAUCUAAAUAAUGAAACAGUUUUAAGCAUGGAAUA